AUGGCCAGGAGGCGAUCGACGGGGAGAACUUCGGGUCCCGUCGACGUCGACGUCGACAUCGACGGAAUCCCCAGCCUGACCCGAGCGAGCACGGGGACGGGGAAUCGCUGGUUGGUGCUGCUUGCGCGACCUCGCGUACGCUAUCAGCGCCGCAGGGGUGGCACCCCACCCUGUGCAAUGGAGGUGCUCGACGAAAUGUCGAACCGGACCUUGACGCUCCAGGCUCAGCAGUGCACGCUCCACAGGCGAUCGACACAAUGCCUGAGUGGAGCAGCUGUCUCUGGGGUCGGCUGCUCGGGCGUGCCCGGUAUGCUGCUGCGCUUGUACUAA
rnacentral:rRNA from 1 species